rnacentral:rRNA from 2 species
AAUACCGGAUAGUUCCUUGAACCGCAUGGUUCAAGGAUGAAAGACGGUUUCGGCUGUCACUUACAGAUGGACCCGCGGCGCAUUAGCUAGUUGGUGAGGUAACGGCUCACCAAGGCGACGAUGCGUAGCCGACCUGAGAGGGUGAUCGGCCACACUGGGACUGAGACACGGCCCAGACUCCUACGGGAGGCAGCAGUAGGGAAUCUUCCGCAAUGGACGAAAGUCUGACGGAGCAACGCCGCGUGAGUGAUGAAGGUUUUCGGAUCGUAAAGCUCUGUUGUUAGGGAAGAACAAGUGCAAGAGUAACUGCUUGCACCUUGACGGUACCUAACCAGAAAGCCACGGCUAACUACGUGCCAGCAGCCGCGGUAAUACGUAGGUGGCAAGCGUUGUCCGGAAUUAUUGGGCGUAAAGGGCUCGCAGGCGGUUUCUUAAGUCUGAUGUGAAAGCCCCCGGCUCAACCGGGGAGGGUCAUUGGAAACUGGGAAACUUGAGUGCAGAAGAGGAGAGUGGAAUUCCACGUGUAGCGGUGAAAUGCGUAGAGAUGUGGAGGAACACCAGUGGCGAAGGCGACUCUCUGGUCUGUAACUGACGCUGAGGAGCGAAAGCGUGGGGGAGCGAACAGGAUUAGAUACCCUGGUAGUCCACGCCGUAAACGAUGAGUGCUAAGUGUUAGGGGGUUUCCGCCCCUUAGUGCUGCAGCUAACGCAUUAAGCACUCCGCCUGGGGAGUACGGUCGCAAGACUGWAACUCAAAGGAAUUGACGGGGGCCCGCACAAGCGGUGGAGCAUGUGGUUUAAUUCGAAGCAACGCGAAGAACCUUACCAGGUCUUGACAUCCUCUGACAACCCUAGAGAUAGGGCUUUCCCUUCGGGGACAGAGUGACAGGUGGUGCAUGGUUGUYGUCAGCUCGUGUCGUGAGAUGUUGGGUUAAGUCCCGCAACGAGCGCAACCCUUGAUCUUAGUUGCCAGCAUUCAGUUGGGCACUCUAAGGUGACUGCCGGUGACAAACCGGAGGAAGGUGGGGAUGACGUCAAAUCAUCAUGCCCCUUAUGACCUGGGCUACACACGUGCUACAAUGGACAGAACAAAGGGCUGCGAGACCGCAAGGUUUAGCCAAUCCCACAAAUCUGUUCUCAGUUCGGAUCGCAGUCUGCAACUCGACUGCGUGAAGCUGGAAUCGCUAGUAAUCSYSGUUCUUCAUGCCGCGGUGAAUACGUUCCCGGGCCUUGUAC